GCCAUCUUAGCUCAGUUUGGUAAGAGUGCGUCAUUGGUAAUGACGAGGUCCUGGGUUCGACCCCCAGAGGUGGCU
rnacentral:tRNA from 1 species